rnacentral:rRNA from 1 species
AUUGAAUGCUGGCGGCAGGCCUAACACAUGCAAGUCGAACGAGUGGCGGACGGGUGAGUAAUGUCUGGGAAACUGCCCGAUGGAGGGGGAUAACUACUGGAAACGGUAGCUAAUACCGCAUACCAUCGGAUGUGCCCAGAUGGGAUGAGCUAGUAGGUGGGGUAACGGCUCACCUAGGCGCCGAUCCCUAGCUGGUCUGAGAGGAUGACCAACCCCACUGUAACUGGGACACGGUCCAGCCUCAUACGGUAGGCAGCAGGGGGGAAGAUUGCACAAUGGGCGCAAGCCUGAUGCAGCCAUGCCGCGUGUAGGAAGAAGGCCUUCGGGUUGUACAGUACUUUCAGCGAGGAGGCGUUACUCGCAGAAGAAGCACCGGCUAACUCCGUGCCAGCCGCCGCGGUAAUAC